GGUGAACGCUGGCGGCGUGCUUAACACAUGCAAGUCGAACGAGAACGGAAUAUAGCUUGCUAUAUUUGUCAGCUAAGUGGCGCACGGGUGAGUAAUGCAUAGAUAACCUGCCCUUAAGAAAGGAAUAACAGUUGGAAACGACUGCUAAUGCCCUAUAUGCCUUUAAUACAUAAGUAUGCAAGGGAAACGCUUUAGUGCUUAAGGAUGGGUCUGUAUGGUAUCAGCUUGUUGGUGAGGUAAUGGCUCACCAAGGCUAUGACGCCUAACUGGUUUGAGAGGAUGAUCAGUCACACUGGAACUGAGACACGGUCCAGACUCCUACGGGAGGCAGCAGUGGGGAAUAUUGCACAAUGGACGACAGUCUGAUGCAGCAACGCCGCGUGGAGGAUGACACAUUUCGGUGCGUAAACUCCUUUUAUAUAGGAAGAUAAUGACGGUACUAUAUGAAUAAGCACCGGCUAACUCCGUGCCAGCAGCCGCGGUAA
rnacentral:rRNA from 1 species